rnacentral:sRNA from 1 species
UUUUCUUUUUCUUCGUUCUCCCUUCUCACUCUUCUCCUCGACUAAUCUGGCGACGACGACCAACCAACAAAACAAGCCCUCGAUUGGUGUUUUUGGUUCCUCUCUAAAAGCCCCCCUCUCUCUUUCGAAAAUUCCUCGCCGCUGCUCUCUCCUUGAUGGUUCAAUUUGGGUUUGCUUAAAUCCUAUGACGAACUGUUUGUUUUCUCAAAUUUGGUUUUGGAUGAGAAAACGAUGAUAAACAAAGGGGAAGUCCCAGACUUGCAGUAGGCCUCAAAAGUGUUUUAGGGGUUUGUGGACAAAGUUUUCGGACGGUGUUUUCCCCAUGAUGAGCCUCACUGGACAAUACAUUCUGUAAAUAGUAACUUUUGAACACUGUGCUCUAUUGGGUUGAUGAGAAAGUGAUUGAAACAGAUUCUGUAAAUCAAUGUUGGUGGAGGUGUUGUUCCGCAGCCUCAAGAAGAACAGAGCAAUGUGUUUGAAAUAAGAGUGAUGUGUUGUAACCAGCGAUGCAAGGGCGAGAUCUGAUCGGUUGCACUCGAACAAGUUAUACAGGAAGAAGAAAAAAAAAAAAAAGGUUGAUAAAUUCUGAAGGAGAAUAAAAGGCUUUGAGGGAAAAAGCUAGAAAUGGAGGUGUGUGUGGUUUUGUGUACCAUCAACCGGAGAGGGAAAGCAAAAGAAUACGUAGAGACAGAGAGAUGGGGUUUAAAUAUGAGGGCAUAGUAAGGAGAGGAAGCAAAAGCAAGAGUGGUAAUCAAUCAUUAGUGGAGUGAAAAAUGUCAUUGGUGCGGUCAAAAGCACUCACAUUUUCUUUUAAUUUUAGGGCCAGAAAAUAGUAACGUUAUUCGCUCCCUCUAAUAUCAUUGGAGUGAAUAAAUUGGUCAUGAACUAGGCACUUCUAAAAUUCGAACCUAAGACAUUUUGUAAUGAAAAGAUUACUGAACAGUAUUAGUAAGUGACAAACAUCUUUUCCUUAACUGCCGUGUCUUU